rnacentral:lncRNA from 1 species
CAUUUCAAAACCCGUCAGCCUUAUGCGCAUGCGCCAACCUCCCCCUCUCGCUCCUCACCGCCUCCUUCCCAAUUUCCCAGAGGAACCACGCUUACGGCUUGACGUCCUACGUACGCGCUCUCCGACUCGCCCUGCAUAGGCUAUCCCUUUUGACUGCGCUGCUAGAACCAGAACGCGGUGAAGAAGGGUUACCUUGGCUCAGCUUAACAACGAGCGGGCUACGUCUGUGCGCUAUCUCUGAGGCAAAGGCUGACCAGAGGGGGUGGAAGGAAAGAAUCCGCGGUCACGUGAUCCGACGAGGGCCGACGCCAUUUUAUGAAUUUUUCUUUUCCUUUUUUUUUUUCUUUAACAGUACAUUUGGUUGGAGGAGUGGGUAUGUUCUGUGACGUCUCAACUCUUUUUUUUUUCAUUGAGGUAAAUUUCACUUAACAUACUGAAUGGACUUUUUUCUUUUCUUUGAGACAGGGUCUUCUAUGUUGCUCAGGCUGGUCCCAAACUGCUGGGCUUAAGCGGUCCUCCUGCCUCAGCCUCCAGAGUUGGGACCACAGACAGGUUCGCACCAUUGCGCCAAGAUGGACUAUUUUAAAGUGUACAAUUUAAUGGCCUUUAGAGUGUUCAUAGGUUGUGCCACCAUGACCACUGCUAUUAUUAACUCUUUUCAUCACCCAAAUAAGAAACCUACACCUAUUAACCUAUUAACUCCCUGUCAUGAGUGAGCUAUGUCAUUUACAUAGACAAAACACGUUUGGUGUCUUUCCACAGUGUCACAAUUUAGUGAAUAACAAUAAAUUCACAGGUAACACUGUUUUCAUCAGUGUCAGUUCACUGAAUACUUGUGGGU